rnacentral:rRNA from 1 species
GUGAGUCAUCGAGUCUUUGAACGCACAUUGCGCCCCUUGGUAUUCCGAGGGGCAUGCCUGUUCGAGCGUCAUUACACCACUCAAGCACCGCUUGGUAUUGGGCACUCGUCCGCCGAAAGGCGGGCGUGCCUCGAAGACCUCGGCGGGGUUUCUCCAACUUCGGACGUAGUAGAGUUAAAUCAAAACGUCUUAAUAAGCUUGGUGAGAUCUCAUUGCCGUUAAACCUUUUUAUUUUACAGGUUUGAACCUUCGGUAUCAGGUAGGGAUACCCGCUGUAACUUAAGCAUAUCGAAUAACGCGGAGGUA